UUAGGAUUGACAGAUUGAGAGUUCUUUCUUGAUUGGUCUAGUGGUGGUGCAUGGCCGUUCUUAGUUGGUGGAGUGAUUUGUCUGGUUAAUUCCGUUAACGAACGAGACCUUAACCUGCUAACUAGUAUUGGGAUCUCAAAUCCCAAUUACUUCUUAGAGGGACUAUGUGAUGUAAUCACAUGGAAGUUUGAGGCAAUAACAGGUCUGUGAUGCCCUUAGAUGUCCUGAGCUGCACGCGUACUACAAUGGUGCUUUCAACGAGCUUUUCCUGAUCCGAAAGGAUUUGGGUAAUCGUUUUAGUGAGCACCGUGCUUGGGAUAGAUCUUUGUAAUUAUGGAUCUUGAACUAGGAAUUCCUAGUAAGCGCUAGUCAUCAACUAGUGCUGAUUACGUCCCUGCAAAAUGUACACACCGCCCGUCGCUUUUACCGACUGAGUGCUCAGGUGAACCUUCUUGAUAGCGCAAGCUAAAAAUUAAGUAAAUCUUAGCACUUAGAGGAAAAACAAGUCGUAACAAGGUUUCCGUAGGUGAACCUGCGGAAG
rnacentral:rRNA from 1 species